rnacentral:rRNA from 1 species
CCUACGGGGGGCAGCAGUGGGGAAUAUUGCACAAUGGGGGGAACCCUGAUGCAGCGACGCCGCGUGGGUGAAGGAGUACUUCGGUACGUAAAGCCCUAUCAGCAGGAAAGAAAAUGACGGUACCUGACUAAGAAGCCCCGGCUAACUACGUGCCAGCAGCCGCGGUAAUACGUAGGUGGCAAGUGUUGUCCGGAUUUACUGGGUGUAAAGGGCGUGUAGCCGGGCCGGCAAGUCAGAUGUGAAAUCCCAAGGCUCAACCUUGGAACUGCAUUUGAAACUGUUGGUCUUGAGUAUCGGAGAGGCAG